rnacentral:rRNA from 1 species
GACAGAGGGUGCAAACGUUGUUCGGAAUUACUGGGCGUAAAGCGCGUGUAGGCGGCUAAGUAAGUCGGGCGUGAAAUCCCACGGUUCAACCGUGGAAGUGCACUCGAAACUGCAUAGCUAGAGUCCUGGAGAGGAAGGUGGAAUGCUUGGUGUAGAGGUGAAAUUCGUAGAUAUCAAGCGGAACACCGGUGGCGAAGGCGGCCUUCUGGACAGUGACUGACGCUGAGACGCGAAAGCGUGGGGAGCAAACAGG